GCCCAGGUGGCGGAAUUGGUAGACGCGCACGUUUCAGGUGCGUGUGUUUCACGACGUGCAGGUUCGAGUCCUGUUCUGGGCACCA
rnacentral:tRNA from 2 species